rnacentral:pre_miRNA from 1 species
GUAUAGUUGUGUGUGGAUGGUGUUCAGCACCAGGGGCAGGUAUAGUUGUGUGUUGAUGGUGUUCAGCACCAGGGACAGGUUAUGUUAUGCG